GGCGGGACACGUGGUAUCCUGUCUGAAUAUGGGGGGACCAUCCUCCAAGGCUAAAUACUCCUGACUGACCGAUAGUGAACCAGUACCGUGAGGGAAAGGCGAAAAGAACCCCGGCGAGGGGAGUGAAAAAGAACCUGAAACCGUGUACGUACAAGCAGUGGGAGCACCCUUUGGGGUGUGACUGCGUACCUUUUGUAUAAUGGGUCAGCGACUUAUAUUCUGUAGCAAGGUUAACCGAAUAGGGGAGCCGGAGGGAAACCGAGUCUUAAUUGGGCGUUAAGUUGCAGGGUAUAGACCCGAAACCCGGUGAUCUAGCCAUGGGCAGGUUGAAGGUUGGGUAACACUAACUGGAGGACCGAACCGACUAAUGUUGAAAAAUUAGCGGAUGACCUGUGGCUGGGGGUGAAAGGCCAAUCAAACCGGGAGAUAGCUGGUUCUCCCCGAAAGCUAUUUAGGUAGCGCCUCGUGAAUUCAUCUCCGGGGGUAGAGCACUGUUUCGGCUAGGGGGCCAUCCCGGCUUACCAACCCGAUGCAAACUGCGAAUACCGGAGAAUGUUAUCACGGGAGACACACGGCGGGUGCUAACGUCCGUCGUGAAGAGGGAAACAACCCAGACCGCCAGCUAAGGUCCCAAAGUCAUGGUUAAGUGGGAAACGAUGUGGGAAGGCCCAGACAGCCAGGAUGUUGGCUUAGAAGCAGCCAUCAUUUAAAGAAAGCGUAAUAGCUCACUGGUCGAGUCGGCCUGCGCGGAAGAUGUAACGGGGCUAAACCAU
rnacentral:rRNA from 3 species